rnacentral:snRNA from 1 species
AAAAAAAAAAAACAGAAUGAUACAGAGAUUAGCAUGACCCCUGCACAAGGAUGACAUGCAAAUUCAUGAAGUAUUCCAUAUUUUA